AGGGUUGCACUGUAUUACAUUUUUAAAAAAAUAUUACUCAGCUUGGGUUUAAAAUGUAAUGCUUGCUUUUUUUUUUUCUUUUUUUUUUUUUUAUCUUUCGGCCCAAGAACUUGCCAGUCAAGAUGAAAAACUUCUUCUAAUGGAAUCCAGCUUGAAAGCAACUCAAGAGCAGCAAAGUGAGCAAAUAGCAGAAACAGUUCGCCAAGAACAGAACAGUAGAAAAUCACAGACAGAGCUGAAGACCCUGCAAGAACAUAUUGUAGCUUCCGAAGAAGAAAUUAGUGAUUGCAAAGCCCAGAUGAGUACUUUAUAUAGGAACUUGGCUGCAAACAGAAGCCUGUUCGUUUGGUGGUGGACUGAACGUUUAAAGCUAAAUGUUUUAUCUCAGAUUUGUGGCAAGCAUCAAAGACUCUCAGCAAAUCUCCUCUGACAGUAAGUUUGUUUAUUUUGUCCCUGUAAGAAGAGGAACACAGUGACUGCCUGGUCUCCAAGUAAGAUGUCUUUGUUAUUAAAAUAGUCCAAGAAGUGGGAAGGACAGAAGAAGUAUUGAGACACUUUAUCUCCUGUCACUUUUUGCUUGUGCACAAUAAUAAAUUGAUGCUGACCUCUACUUUAAGGAGCUGG
rnacentral:lncRNA from 1 species